rnacentral:rRNA from 1 species
GUGAACGCUGGCGGUAGGCCUAACACAUGCAAGUCGAACGGCAGCACAGUAAGAGCUUGCUCUUACGGGUGGCGAGUGGCGGACGGGUGAGGAACACAUCGGAAUCUACUUUUUCGUGGGGGAUAACGUAGGGAAACUUACGCUAAUACCGCAUACGACCUACGGGUGAAAGCAGGGGAUCUUCGGACCUUGCGCGAUUGAAUGAGCCGAUGUCGGAUUAGCUAGUUGGCGGGGUAAAGGCCCACCAAGGCGACGAUCCGUAGCUGGUCUGAGAGGAUGAUCGGCCACACUGGAACUGAGACACGGUCCAGACUCCUACGGGAGGCAGCAGUGGGGAAUAUUGGACAGUGGGCGCAAGCCUGAUCCAGCCAUACCGCGUGGGUGAAGAAGGCCUUCGGGUUGUAAAGCCCUUUUGUUGGGAAAGAAAAGCAGCAGGUUAAUACCCCGCUGUUCUGACGGUACCCAAAGAAUAAGCACCGGCUAACUUCGUG